rnacentral:rRNA from 1 species
GAUGAACGCUGGCGGCGUGCCUAAUACAUGCGAGUCGAGCGAACAGACGAGGAGCUUGCUCCUCUGACGUUAGCGGAGGACGGGUGAGUAACACGUGGAUAACCUACCUCUAAGACUGGGAUAACUUCGGGAAACCGGAGCUUAUAGCGGAUAAUAUAUUGAUCCGCAUGGUUCAAUAGUGAAAGACGGUUUUGGUGUCACUUAUAGAUGGUUCCGCGGCGCAUUAGCUAGUUGGUAAGGUAACGGCUUACCAAGGCACCGAUGCGCAGCCGACGUGAGAGGGUGAACGGCCACAGUGGAAGUGAGCCGCGGUCCAGACUCCUACGGGAGGCAGCAGUAGGGAAGCUUCGGAAAUGGGCGAAAUCCUGACGGAGCAGCGCCGCGUUGGUGAUGAAGGUCUGCGUAGCGUAAAACUCUGUUAUGGGGGAAGAACAAAUGCGUAAGGAACUAUGCGCGUCUUGACGGUACCUAAACAGAAAGCCACGGCUAACUACGUG